AACGAACGCUGGCGGCGUGCCUAACACAUGCAAGUCGAACGGAAUAAGGGGCUUGCUCCUUAUUUAGUGGCGCACGGGUGAGUAACGCGUAGAUAAUCUGCCUGACGAUCUGGGAUAACACUUCGAAAGAGGUGCUAAUACCGGAUAGGCCCACGUGGUCUUUGGCUCGUUCGGGAAAAGGGGGGGACCUUUCGGCCUUCUGUCGUCCGCUGAGUCUGCGGACCAUUAGCUAGUUGGUAGGGUAAAGGCCUACCAAGGCGACGAUGGUUAGCUGGUCUGAGAGGAUGAUCAGUCACACUGGAACUGAGACACGGUCCAGACUCCUACGGGAGGCAGCAGUGGGGAAUUUUGCGCAAUGGGCGAAAGCCUGACGCAGCAACGCCGCGUGAGUGAUGAAGGCUUUCGGGUCGUAAAGCUCUGUCGAGGGGAAAGAAGUGUAUUGUGGUUAAUACCCAUGAUACUUGACGGUACCCCUAAAGGAAGCACCGGCUAACUCCGUGCCAGCAGCCGCCGUAAUAC
rnacentral:rRNA from 1 species